ACCUGACCUGGGGCCCGGCUUUGAACCCAUCAGAUUCGGGGUCCCUUCAGAUUCGGGGUCCCUUUGGGCCCAGCGGAUGCACCCACAGCACAAUCACCCAGGCCUCCAAAAUAGCCUCGAGAGGGGAUGCCCCCACCAGCCCUCCUAAGGGUGAGACCACAUCUUUGGCAGCAGCUCUGUUGGCAGCUGACGUUUCAGUAACAUCUGUGGCGUAGGUGGCCCUUCUCUGGGGACACAGAUGAGUGAGAUGGGUGGGGAGUGAAUGAGAGAGUUGGAUUCAGGGGACAAGAGAGCCCAGGACUGGGUCAGGGUGGCCCCAGGAGCCUAGGAACAGGACGGCAGUCCAAGGCGGAAGGGCGCAUUUCCCUUUUCCCCGUCUGAGAGUCCCCCGUCCUGGGCAUGGGCGCUAAGGGGAGGCAGGUUGGGGCUCAGGGCCUGGACCCCAGCACACCUCUUCCUUCCUGCAUGCCCCUGGGAUGGUGGCGGCACCUCUCCACGCCUCAGUUUCACCAUCUGGAGCCUGACUUCACCAUAGCACAAGGGGACCUGCUUCCGGAUGCCAGAGUCCAGAUGGCCGGUGGCUUGGGCCUCGCUGGCAGGUGUUGGACAAGGGCCCAGGUCCUGGCGACCCCCUCUCCGGCGGCUGCCUCCAGAAGCGGGAAUGAGGAAAGAGCUCUCGGCCUGGGCAAGGCUGCCAGCAAGAGGCUCCAGGCCACAGGAAGGAGGGGACUUCUUCAUUCAUAGCAUGUCCCCAGCACCUAGAUGCUCUGAAGGGCUCAGCAGAGUUAUUGAGUGAAAAUAAGAAGACAUUCAAUAAAUGGUUGUUGAAUUCAA